GAGGUGCUUGCACCUCUGGCGUCGAGCGGCGGACGGGUGAGUAAUGCUUGGGAAUAUGCCUUAUGGUGGGGGACAACAGUUGGAAACGACUGCUAAUACCGCAUGAUGUCUACGGACCAAAGUGGGGGACCUUCGGGCCUCACGCCAUAAGAUUAGCCCAAGUGGGAUUAGCUAGUUGGUGAGGUAAUGGCUCACCAAGGCGACGAUCCCUAGCUGGUUUGAGAGGAUGAUCAGCCACACUGGGACUGAGACACGGCCCAGACUCCUACGGGAGGCAGCAGUGGGGAAUAUUGCACAAUGGGCGCAAGCCUGAUGCAGCCAUGCCGCGUGUGUGAAGAAGGCCUUCGGGUUGUAAAGCACUUUCAGUAAGGAGGAAAGGUUAAGUGUUAAUAGCACUUAGCUGUGACGUUACUUACAGAAGAAGCACCGGCUAACUCCGUGCCAGCAGCCGCGGUAAUACGGAGGGUGCGAGCGUUAAUCGGAAUUACUGGGCGUAAAGCGUACGCAGGCGGUUUGUUAAGCGAGAUGUGAAAGCCCCGGGCUCAACCUGGGAACUG
rnacentral:rRNA from 1 species